AGCCAAUGGGAUGGGUGGGGGCGGGCACUGUGCUUCUCUUCCAGGCCGGCCCUUAACAACCUCCUGUGGGUGAGCCCUGCUCUCUUACUCACCCACUGCCCCAGUGGAGGGCACUCCGAGGACCUCAGGGAGGUCAGAGCCACCAAUGGAGGCUCUGAAGAACCACAUGGAACUGUGAGGAACCCAAAGAGCUGUGAAAAGAGGGAGAAAGAUAGAGUCUUGCUCUGUUGCCCAGGCCAGAGUGCAGUGGUGGACUCCCAACUUACUUCAGCCUCAAACUCCUAGGCUCAGGUGAUCCCCCUGUUUCAGCUUCCUGAGUAGCUGAGACCACAGACAAGAUCUCUCUAUGUUGCCCAGGCUGGUCUCAAACUCCUAGCCUCAAGGGAUCCUCCCAAAGUGUUGAGAUUACCUGCAUGAGCCGCUGUGCCUGGCCCAUGGGUGGGCUUGUGACACUCUUGUUACAAACAGAAUGUAGUGAAAGUGGUACUGUGUGACUUCCAUGACAUCCAUGUUCACUGGAGCACUCAUGCAUGGAGGCCUGAGUUGCCCUGUCAGCAGUCCAACUACCCUGAGGCCACCAUGCUGUGAGGAAGCCCAACCAGCCCACAUGGGGCAGACCACACAGAGCAGCUCAAGAUCACCAUGCUGUUUCAGCUCCAGCCCCCCAUCUGACUACAACCACAUGUGGCACCUCCAAGCUGGCGCUGUGGCUGAGCCUUCAACUGGCCACUCCAUUCCCCCAUCAGCCAGCAGCCUCUGGGUUGUACGGCACAUAAUAGGACCACUAGACACCAUGGGUGUGCCUGAGGUUGCACCUCUUUUGCUGUGAAGUGGAGCCCUUGGCCUGAUGUGAUGUUACACCCUCGCUUGGGGCUCUAAUACUGGAGCAAGCCGGCCACCAUGUCAUGAGGACUCUCGAGCCAUCUGUGGAGAGGCCCACCUAGGGAGGAACGGAGGCCUCCCACCAACAGCCGGCACUGUCUUGCCAGCCCGGGCAUGACUGCCUUGGAAGCAGGCCCUCCAGCCCAAGCCCAGCCAUUCCAGAGGACAUCCUGACUGCAACCUCAGGGAGGCCCACGAGGUGCAACACACAGCAAAGCCACCCUGGAUUCUUCACCUGCAGACACCGGGAUGAUCAUAAACGUCUAUUGCUGCUUUCAGCCACAUUUCUUGAAAUAUUUGGGUAUUUUUCCCU